rnacentral:rRNA from 1 species
GACGAACGCUGGCGGCGUGCUUAACACAUGCAAGUCGAACGGAAAGGCCCUGCUUUUGUGGUGUGCUCGAGUGGCGAACGGGUGAGUAACACGUGAGUAACCUGCUCUUGACUUUGGGAUAACUUCAGGAAACUGGGGCUAAUACCGGAUAGGCGCUCCUGCUGCAUGGUGGGGGUUGGAAAGUUUCGGCGGUUGGGGAUGGACUCGCGGCUUAUCAGCUUGUUGGUGGGGUAGUGGCUUACCAAGGCUUUGACGGGUAGCCGGCCUGAGGGGGUGACCGGCCACAUUGGGACUGGAAAACGGCCCAGACUCCUACGGGAGGCGGCGUGGGGAAAUAUGGCACAAGGGGCGGAGGCCUGAGGCACGAACGCGGCGUGCGGGAUGACGGCCUUCGGGUGGAAAACCGUUUUCGCCGGUGACGAAGCGUGAGUGACGGUAAUGAGUAAAGAAGCACCGGCUAACUACGUG